rnacentral:rRNA from 1 species
GACGAACCGUGCGAACGUUAUUCGGAAUCACUGGGCUUAAAGCGCGUGUAGGCGGGACGGCACGUCGGUCGCUGAAAUCCCCGGCUCAACCGGGGAACGGGCGCCGAUACGACCGCCCUGGAGGGACGUAGGGGGACCUGGAACUUCCGGUGGAGCGGUGAAAUGCGUUGAGAUCGGAAGGAACGCCCGUGGCGAAAGCGAGGUCCUGGACGUCUUCUGACGCUGAGACGCGAAAGCCAGGGGAGCGAACGGG